rnacentral:lncRNA from 1 species
CUAUAGGCUUGCUACCAUACCCGGCUAAUUUUUGUAUAUUUAGUAGAGACACGGUUUCACCAUGUUGUCCAGGCUGCUCUUGAACUUCUGACCUCAGGUAAUCCAUCCGCCUUGGCCUCCCAAAAUGCUGGGAUUACAGGUGUGAGCCACUGUGCCCGGCCUUAGAUCAAUUAUUGAUUAUAGAGGUACCUUCAGUAUAUUACCAGUGAUAUUUUUUGAUACAAGUAGCAUAUUGAUGAUAUUGAGUCAUUUCUGUAGCAUGGUAAUCUUCGCUUUUAGAGAUUUGUGGGGUUUUACUGUGGAUGCUAUUCCUGGGAAAUAAUAACAAUAACAAAAAAAUCAGGUUCUGUAUUUUUAUUAAUAAAAGUAGUUAAGUGCCUAUCAUUGAAUGAGUUACUUACAUAUGAGGUCUGCAGUUUUUAGAAACAGUUGUAGGAAACUUUAUACCU